rnacentral:rRNA from 1 species
GUGCCAGCCGCCGCGGUAAUACCAGCACCCCGAGUGGUCGGGACGUUUAUUGGGCCUAAAGCAUCCGUAGCCGGUUCUACAAGUCUUCCGUUAAAUCCACCUGCUUAACAGAUGGGCUGCGGAAGAUACUAUAGAGCUAGGAGGCGGGAGAGGCAAGCGGUACUCGAUGGGUAGGGGUAAAAUCCGUUGAUCCAUUGAAGACCACCAGUGGCGAAGGCGGCUUGCCAGAACGCGCUCGACGGUGAGGGAUGAAAGCUGGGGGAGCAAACCGGAUUAGAUACCCCUGUAGUCC